ACUCUUCGGUGACUGGCAAUGCUUCCUGAAUGAAAGAAACAUCUACUUGACCUCCUCACAGUCUCCCUUUCUAUAGUGCAAGCUCGACUAGACAGUUUUGACAAUAGUGAUAUUAAGGCUCUGCUUGGUGCCAUGCAAUCUGCAUUUGGGGUGCCAGCUAGCCACAGGACUCAUCUGGAAAAAAACAACGGCCCAACCCUGAGAACUUUGGGAUUCACGGGAAAUUACAGUUCCCCUGAUGAUGCAGGACCGGACCAGGAUUUCACUCAUCAACUGGCCUAGAUUAAGGAGAAAGAAAUCUACAUUUCUGAACCUGGUAACGUCUGAGCAUACUCAUGGAAGAAAGAGCUGGCCUAUGAGCGUGAGUCAUUCAACAAAUAUUUCUGAGUUUUUACAGUGUGCUAGAUACUCUUUACAUGCUGAAUGAGACAGCAAAACUAAGACUGCUCAGGAUAAUUGAGAAAUUAUCGCUUUCUUCCUGUAGGCAUCCCCUGCUUUUCACUAACACUUUUUUCUUCUUGUUGGAAGGGUGGAUAUUAUGGCUGGAGCUGCAGCAGCCAUCAUGCCAACAUGAGGGAAAAGCUGAUGGAAUUGUGGAGACUUUGGCCUUGUGAUUCAGCCCUGGAUGAGUUGUCUCCACAUUACUUAUCAUAUAAGAGAAAAACCAA
rnacentral:lncRNA from 1 species